CCUGCUCCUAGAGGCAGUAUAGGUGUGGUUACUAUGUCCCAUGUGUAUCAGUAGAUGGCAGAGAGGAGAGAGGCUAUGUCUAUGCUCAAUGUUGUGAACUGUGAACCUCUAAAUGAUUAGUAGCCUAACAUU